rnacentral:rRNA from 1 species
AACGCUAGCUACAGGCUUAACACAUGCAAGUAGAGGGGCAGCAUGAAUAAAGUUUCGGCUUUAUUUGAUGGCGACCUGCGAAUGGGUGAGUAACACGUAUCCAACCUGCCUGUUACUGGAGGAUAGCCUCCCGAAAGGGAAAUUAACACUCCAUAUUAUAUAGAUGAGGCAUCUUGUUUAUAUGAAAGUUUCACGGUAACGGAUGGGGAUGCGUCCCAUUAGAUAGUAGGCGGGGUAACGGCCCACCUAGUCGACGAUGGGUAGGGGUUCUGAGGGGAAGGUCCCCCACAUUGGAACUGAGACACGGUCCAAACUCCUACGGGAGGCAGCAGUGAGGAAUAUUGGUCAAUGGGCGAGAGCCUGAACCAGCCAAGUAGCGUGCAGGACGACGGCCCUAUGGGUUGUAAACUGCUUUUAUAUGGGGAUAAAGUGAGUUACGUGUAGCUUAUUGCAGGUACCAUAUGAAUAAGGACCGGCUAAUUCCGUGCCAGCAGCCGCGGUAAUACGGAAGGUCCAGGCGUUAUCCGGAUUUAUUGGGUUUAAAGGGAGCGUAGGCCGCCCCUUAAGCGUGUUGUGAAAUGCCGCGGCUCAACCGUGGCACUGCAGCGCGAACUGGGGGGCUUGAGUGCACGCAACGCAGGCGGAAUUCGUGGUGUAGCGGUGAAAUGCUUAGAUAUCACGAAGAACUCCGAUUG